rnacentral:rRNA from 1 species
UGGGGAAUAUUGGACAAUGGGCGCAAGCCUGAUCCAGCCAUGCCGCGUGAGUGAUGAAGGCCUUAGGGUUGUAAAGCUCUUUCGGCGGGGACGAUAAUGACGGUACCCGCAGAAGAAGCCCCGGCUAACUUCGUGCCAGCAGCCGCGGUAAUACGAAGGGGGCUAGCGUUGUUCGGAAUCACUGGGCGUAAAGGGCGCGUAGGCGGCUUUAUAAGUCGGGGGUGAAAGCCUGUGGCUCAACCACAGAAUUGCCUUCGAUACUGUAUGGCUUGAGACCGGAAGAGGUAAGUGGAACUGCGAGUGUAGAGGUGAAAUUCGUAGAUAUUCGCAAGAACACCAGUGGCGAAGGCGGCUUACUGGUCCGGUUCUGACGCUGAGGCGCGAAAGCGUGGGGAGCAAACAGG